AAACUUUCAACAACGGAUCUCUUGGUUCUGGCAUCGAUGAAGAACGCAGCGAAAUGCGAUAAGUAAUGUGAAUUGCAGAAUUCAGUGAAUCAUCGAAUCUUUGAACGCACAUUGCGCCCCCUGGCAGUCCGGGGGGCACAUCUGUUCGAGCGUCAUUAC
rnacentral:rRNA from 1 species